UAGGGAAUCUUCGGCAAUGGACGAAAGUCUGACCGAGCAACGCCGCGUGAGUGAAGAAGGUUUUCGGAUCGUAAAACUCUGUUGUUAGAGAAGAACAAGGACGUUAGUAACUGAACGUCCCCUGACGGUAUCUAACCAGAAAGCCACGGCUAACUACGUGCCAGCAGCCGCGGUAAUACGUAGGUGGCAAGCGUUGUCCGGAUUUAUUGGGCGUAAAGCGAGCGCAAGCGGUUUCUUAAGUCUGAUGUGAAAGCCCCCGGCUCAACCGGGGAGGGUCAUUGGAAACUGGGAGACUUGAGUGCAGAAGAGGAGAGUGGAAUUCCAUGUGUAGCGGUGAAAUGCGUAGAUAUAUGGAGGAACACCAGUGGCGAAGGCGGCUCUCUGGUCUGUAACUGACGCUGAGGCUCGAAAGCGUGGGGAGCAAACAGG
rnacentral:rRNA from 2 species